AUGAACAAAACACAAAAUAGAAAGAAAAUAAAUAAAUAUUACCACCAACCUUUGAUUCCGGCGGCAAUGAUGAAGAUGGUGCGCGACAGUUGGGCUUAUCCGGUGGGAGUCCGAUUGCGGACCUGGCGGUGUGUGGUUCUGACGUCAUGGAGAUUGGAUCUGUGGUUGGCUUUAUGCAGUUCUAGCGGUGAUGCUGCAGAGGUUUACCGGUGCAGACUUGCAGGAGAAGUUUCCGGUGACGAAUUUUCUGUUGGCCAAACUUGCGAUCCAACGUUGAUCUGGAGAGGAGCGUGA